rnacentral:rRNA from 1 species
ACCUGGCUCAGGACGAACGCUGGCGGCGUGCCUAAUACAUGCAAGUCGAACGCUUCUUUUCCCACCGGAGCUUGCUCCACCGGGAAAAGAGGAGUGGCGAACGGGUGAGUAACACGUGGGUAACCUGCCCAUCAGAAGGGGAUAACACUUGGAAACAGGUGCUAAUACCGUAUAACAAUCGAAACCGCAUGGUUUCGUUUUGAAAGGCGCUUUACGGUGCCGCUGAUGGAUGGACCCGCGGUGCAUUAGCUAGUUGGUGAGGUAACGGCUCACCAAGGCCACGAUGCAUAGCCGACCUGAGAGGGUGAUCGGCCACAUUGGGACUGAGACACGGCCCAAACUCCUACGGGAGGCAGCAGUAGGGAAUCUUCGGCAAUGGACGAAAGUCUGACCGAGCAACGCCGCGUGAGUGAAGAAGGUUUUCGGAUCGUAAAACUCUGUUGUUAGAGAAGAACAAGGGUGAGAGUAACUGUCACCCCUGACGGUUCUA